UGGGGAAUAUUGGACAAUGGGCGAAAGCCUGAUCCAGCCAUGCCGCGUGUGUGAAGAAGGUCUUCGGAUUGUAAAGCACUUUAAGUUGGGAGGAAGGGCAUUAACCUAAUACGUUAGUGUUUUGACGUUACCGACAGAAUAAGCACCGGCUAACUCUGUGCCAGCAGCCGCGGUAAUACAGAGGGAGCAAGCGUUAAUCGGAAUUACUGGGCGUAAAGCGCGCGUAGGUGGUUUGUUAAGUUGGAUGUGAAAUCCCCGGGCUCAACCUGGGAACUACAUUCAAAACUGACUGACUAGAGUAUGGUAGAGGGUGGUGGAAUUUCCUGUGUAGCGGUGAAAUGCGUAGAUAUAGGAAGGAACACCAGUGGCGAAGGCGACCACCUGGACUAAUACUGACACUGAGGUGCGAAAGCGUGGGGAGCAAACA
rnacentral:rRNA from 1 species